GACGAACGCUGGCGGCGUGCUUAACACAUGCAAGUCGAACGAAGAGCGACGGAAGCUUGCUUCUAUCAAUCUUAGUGGCGAACGGGUGAGUAACGCGUAAUCAACCUGCCCUUCAGAGGGGGACAACAGUUGGAAACGACUGCUAAUACCGCAUACGAUCUAAUCUCGGCAUCGAGGAUGGAUGAAAGGUGGCCUCUACAUGUAAGCUAUCACUGAAGGAGGGGAUUGCGUCUGAUUAGCUAGUUGGAGGGGUAACGGCCCACCAAGGCGAUGAUCAGUAGCCGGUCUGCGAGGAUGAACGGCCACAUUGGGACUGAGACACGGCCCAGACUCCUACGGGAGGCAGCAGUGGGGAAUCUUCCGCAAUGGACGAAAGUCUGACGGAGCAACGCCGCGUGAGUGAUGACGGCCUUCGGGUUGUAAAACUCUGUUAAUCGGGACGAAAGGCCUUCUUGCGAAUAGUGAGAAGGAUUGACGGUACCGGAAUAGAAAGCCACGGCUAACUACGUG
rnacentral:rRNA from 1 species